UACGAAGGGGGCUAGCGUUGCUCGGAAUCACUGGGCGUAAAGCGCGCGUAGACGGUUUUGUAAGUCAGAUGUGAAAUCCCUGGGCUCAACCUGGGAACUGCAUUUGAGACUGCAUGGCUAGAGUAUCGAAGAGGGAAGUGGAAUUUCCGGUGUAGCGGUGAAAUGCGUAGAUAUCGGAAGGAACACCAGUGGCGAAAGCGACUCCUGGUCGAAUACUGACGUCAUGUGCGAAAGCGUGGGGAGCAAACAGG
rnacentral:rRNA from 1 species